rnacentral:misc_RNA from 1 species
GGUGGAUGUUAAGAAGUUCCUGGCUAGAAGACCUGGCUGGAGCAGAGUCACUGAUGAUGGGGUACAAACACGUGCUCAUUUGGAGUCUCAAUUGGCGUCUGCUCUUGCUUUGAAGUCUCCUAGUGAAUAUCGUCAAUGCCUUUUAUCCUACGUUCGGUUUUUAGCAAGAGAGGCAGAUGAAUCACGCUUGAGAGAAGUUUGCGAGAACUUUCUUGGGCCUCCCACAGGGAUGGCUGAGGCUGCAUCCUCUACGUCAAAUAAACCUGCUUGGGAUCCUUGUGUACUUGGUAUGAAAAAGCAGAGACUCCUUCGAGAAGACAUACUUCCAGCAAUGGCCUCAAAUAGAAAAGUACAGCGGCUACUCAAUGAGUUCAUGGAUCUCCUCUCAGAAUAUGAGAUACCUGACACAAAUCUUGAACAGAGCAACGUUGCAACCACCACAUCAACUGAAAUGAAUCUCGAACAGACCAAGGUUGCCACCACUACAGAUAAAAUGGAUACUGAUCUCCCUAUGACUCAAAGAGCAGCCCCCAAGACACUAAUAACUGAUCCGACACCUUCUACAACUGUUAAUGACCGAGAUGAUCCUGCUCCUCCUGCAGUACAAUCAACUGAACAUGUUGAGCCUUCUACACCAUUGAAAGAUCCUAUGGACUCCGCUCAAGAAGGAGCUGAUGAAGCUAAAUCUGUACCGCCUCCAACAGAUCAAAUGAAUUUGGAUCCACCUGCAUCAGUUGAAUCAGAACCAUUUCCGUCACCAAAGGAAAAGGUUUCUUGAUGUCUAUGUUUUCAUAAUAUUAGAUGUGAUAGGCACCUUAAAGUACUGCUGACACAACAACUGAUGCUGUGGACUGUAAAAACGAUAUUCCACACGCAGCUUCCAGGCUGAAUGUCUGAGUGAAUGCACCUAGAAGGCGGUAUCCAAGGUAUGUAACAUGAUAGACUUUUUGUUGUAGUGGAGUUUGAUUAUAUAGUUUUUACGCCGUGUGAAGUUAAAGGUGUAUGUACUCUCUCCCCUAAUGAAGACAUUCAUUGAGGUCUUUGAGCAUUCAUAUUCUAAUGUUGAACAGCAGUUCUCAGAACUUGCAAU